UGCUCACAGUUCUCUACAAACACUAAACGCGGAAGAAAGAAGUUGAAUUCAGUCUUUCUCUUUUCAUCUUAUUCACCGCAUGAGUUGAUGUUGAAUCAGAGAGGGGUUCAUGGUUCUUUGCUUGAAAGAAGUUGUUAUAACCAUCAAUACUAUUGGAGGAGCAGUUAUCGCUAAUAUCAAAUCAAGUUGGAUUGCAUGAAGCCAUCGACUAUCUUGAUCUCUAAAUUAGUUUGGUGAUAUAAUUUGAGAAAUUGGUAAUUGGGAUUCUGAAUUUUCUAGGUUAAAAUCCUCAAAUUGAAAAGAAACUCUAGAUGUUUGAAAAUCUAUUUUGGUUCCUGCGGUUUGUGUGCUUGUUGUUUGCCUGAGAUUCAGGAGCAAGGUUUAAUCAAAAAUAAGGUGCAGAGAAAAGGAAUUAGAAGGAAUUUUUUUAAUCAAAAAUACGGUGCAGGCGAAAGGAAUUAGAAGGAAAUUUAAGACGAAAACUUUGAUUUUUCUGAACCUGUUUGUGUUGAGUUACUGAUGCCCCGUAUUUAGUUUUGUCUCUUCAUAUUGAUUUUCAAUUGAUGUUGAAUAACUCAGCAGUGGUCGAUGUUUCCAGUAAAUUUAGGAGGCAAAGAUUCGUGAUGCAUAGGAAAGCAUGUGAACAUGUGGAAACCCUACAAGUUUUAAAUCUGUAAAAAAAAUUAUCCACUUUUUGUUUGGCGUAGGCAGAUUGACGACUUUUUCUUUUUAUCUUCGUUACUCCUUGGUGCUUACUUAUCAGACAUUGCUACCAAGGUACACCAAUCCUCAUUCUUAUUCUUAAGAAUUGCAAUUGACUGGUAAUAGAAUUUUUUUUCUUCGCUUUACGUGAAAUCCAUACGAAACAGGAAAAUCCUUUUUAUUUACUAAGAUUUAACUGUUUUGUUAGCAUGUGUAUAUAGAUAUGAAUGAAUGGUAUACUGUUUAAUAUCUUUAAUGUCUUGGAGCCACUGCGAUUUUUAGUUCACAUAUGUUGUUGUAUGUAAUUGGAAAUAGGAAUGCCAUAGUAGGAGAUCACUAAUUAUGUGCUGUGUAUUCCCUUGAACUUUAUUACAAAUAUGAAUUCACCGAAAGGGAAACAUAUCUAAGAGAAAUAGAACAAUCAGAGAAGGAGAAAUUGGGAAUGCUGUAUGGUAUCUGAAUGAUGAUUUACUUCUCUUGCUGUGGCAGCUUAUAAGAAUUCAUCAAUUGUACUCUGUAUUUUUGGUGGGUUUUUCCUCCAUCGCUUCAUUUAACUAUUUUCUAUACACAAAGUGUUUUGUGGUGAAGGUGAUCUUAGUGACAAUAUAUGUCUUAGGAUUAAAGCUGUCCAUAUGUGUACAGUGCGGCAAGUCAGCGGAAAUUGUGCAGAAUUAGGCUAUGAUUACAGGAAGAUACAUGUAUCUCCAAGUUCAUUGCCAGCUGAUCAAUACAGUGCCGAAUUAGACUAUAAUUACAGGCAAGUAGGGUGGGUGAUGCUUUAAAAAGACCAGGGCCGCACAGAUAUUUUCAUAUGUUUUUGGUCGUUGGAUGCAGAUUUGUGUUAGAUAAAAUCCGUUUUCUCUUUCCACCUCUAUUUUUUUUCUUCUUUUUUUGAUGGGGAAGACAGAGCGAAAGAUGGUUCCCUCCUACCCUAACAGUGGCAAUUCUCUGUGAAGAUUAGAGAUGUGAAGAUUAGACGUGGCAAAGCAUAUAAUAAAGAUUGUAGAGACGCAAGCAGAGGCCAAACUCAUGUUUUGCACCACUAUUAUUAGAGCACCAUGCACGAUACACCCCACAUUGAAUUACUACAGUGAUAUGUCUUAUUGUCUUCCACUCCAAGAUCAGGCCAAUGUUUAUUUUAUCUUCCUGAAAUGUUUUUGACUUCUCUUUUGCUCAUAUAUGCUUUGUUUAAAUGGUUAUAGGAUUUUUUCCUUGGUUUCUGCACAUCAUCAAAUAUUCAAUAAAUUUGUAGUAUCAUAUUUAGUCUCAUGUAAUAUUUGUGCAGAUUUCCAUUCUUUCAAUUUCAGAGUAUGUUUAAAGAUGACCAAAUUGAUUAAAGAUGUGGAAGCUUGGCGUGAAGAACUGAGAAGCUGUUAUAGAAGAGAGGGUCCAGGGGGUGCAUCAGUAGCAGCAAUAGUAAUGUCCAGCAAUCAAAAUAAUAAAGUUUGGCAAGUAGCACAGUUGUAUAAGUUGCAUUCCAAAAUUUUGGUGGAUCAAAGAUGUGUAAGUUGCCCUAAACUGAGCACUUGAAUCUUUUGUUUAUAUGCUUCUUCUACUGUAUAGCAGUUUUGAGUUCUCUAAGAAUGCGCCUUCACACUAAUUAUCCUUAUUACUUCGAUAACAACGUUUCUUAUUGAUCAAAUUGAAGUUUUUCUCUAUAAUUUAAGUCAGUAUAAACACUCUUGAAUAAUCUGUUGGCACAGAUUUGUGUGCUCGGCUGAUGCUUAUAAAGUUAAUAUUAUUCCUAAUAGGAAGUUGAAUUAACUCUGGGAAGCAUCAGCUGAGCAUGGAUGAGUAAGAAUAAUGAAGACUCCGAGGUGGAAAUCACGUUUACAGUAAAUAUUAUUUCUAAUAAAAACUCAUCCCUCAAAAUGUUUGAAGAUGUGCUGACUACUCUAUUUGCUCGGCGCAUAUAAACUCAUCCCUCAAAACGUUUACAGUGAAUAUCACUUAUAAAUAAAUAUAUAUAUUGUGCAAUAUAUGGUGGCGUAGGAUACUCUAUUUCGAUGAAGUAAUUGCCAUAAAUGAAGUUGGCUCUUAAGUACUUCGUACGCAAGAUCUUUUUGGUCAAGUUGGCUCUUAAGGCUGUUAAACUUCUUAGAUGUGUUUUUCCAAGUUGGUUUUGCUAACUUUUGUUGCUUAAUGGAAUUGAACCAUAACAGUUGCUUAAUGGAGCAUUAAUUAGUCUUUAGCUAAUGAACCAGUGUAAAAGAUUUAGUUCUUAAACUAAAUCUUUUAGCUUAAUCCAAAAGUUGUGGUAAAGAAGUGGGCGGUGCUUGCAGGUGGAUAUGUGGUUAUUUAGGGGUUCGGUUAUUAGACUUGCUGUCAUUAAUUGUUUAUGCUAGCGAUCUGGCUACAUAUAUGCUAAAGAACCAAAUAUGUAAAGAACAUUUUGGAAGCAUAUGAUCCAUGCUUCAAUUUUAUUUUGCACACUCAGUUUCUUCCGAAAUUUGGUAGCAGUUUCAUUCUUAAUUAUUUGGGCCAUCCAUAAUGGCUCGGAAACUAUGACCUGACUAACUAAUUUAUUAUUAGUCACAAAUUGGUUUAUUUCAUCUCUUUCUACUAUAUUAGUUAUGAUCACUAAUUUUGUUCUGAUUAUCCAAUUUGUUGUAUUUUAUGCAAGUUGCAUAUUAAAGGCAAGCAAUCCAACAGCACCACCACUAAUUGCAGGGUCUUACAUGGAUAAAACAUAAUUAAUGAAGUAGCAAGAAGAGAAGAGACCUUCUUGAGGCUGUAAAGGUUGAAAGCCGUCACUCUACGGUUUUUAUUUGUAACAUUGAUAUUAAAUCUCACGACUUUGAUUAUCCAUUGUGAUAUUAGGUAAAAAUCACUCUUAUUGUUCUUCUUUGUUAAUUCAGCAUUCUAUUUGGUAUUUUUCUUUGAUCCAAUUAGUGACGGUUCUGCUUCCUUUCUCAUGUAUGAAAUAGCUGUAGAGUGGUGAAUUUUGAGAUAUGGCAGCUAUUUGAGUAUGAAUUUUGUCUAAGAGAUUGAUGUGUUCAGAAUACGAAUCUGAGAUGGUUUGUAGUUUUAAAGUAAAAGUUGCUAUUAAGGUUUUGCUUAUAUCAGAGAAAUGGACGCUGUAACAGGCAAUCAUGUCAGGAGAAGAUACUCAGAGCAAUAACCAAGGAUUGAUACCGCUGCUUAACUAUUCUUAUUCUCAUGUAUUAUGUUUCUGUCUACAAUAUCAUAUCAAGGACUUGCAUAUGAUAGAAGAAACAUAUAGAAAAAGACAAUGAGCUGCGGAAGAUGAGCUAGAGUUUUUUCAUGUGAAGCAGGAUUUUGAGUCUUUGGUGGUAAGCUGGGAGUGUAUGGUGCCAGAACAAAUUGAAACUGACAGGCAUAUCAUGCUAAAUCUGUCGACUUCUAUUUUUCAGGGACUUAGCCUGGUGUGAAACUGAAUUGGCAAGAGCCAGAUGUAGAGUUUGAAUGAGCUAAAUCUGGAUUUGUUGGCCAAAUCUCUAAAUGGUAUAGAGACAGGAAAGCAGAAGGUAAUGUGUUGUCCAUGAAUAUUGACAACCCCAUACAACAACUAGGUGGAGUGGUUUCAAAAUACCAGAAAAAACGUAUCAUUGUUUGUAACCAUUUUAUUGUGAUCGUGAUCAUGGUUGAAUCUCCGUCAAAUAAAUUUUAUUCGUGGGUCCCUAGAUAGCUUUGUGGUGUGCUGCUGCUGCUCUAGCGUUAAUAUGGGUGCUUCAGAAUUUUCUAAACCUUGCACAGAGGUGUAGCUCAUCUCCAGAUUAUGGAGGUCAAAGAUCUGUCUUUUGCUCGCCUAAUUCAGCAAGAUUAGGUGUCCAUUUGUUUGCAUUUACACAGAGAGAUCACUUCAAUGGGGGACCAUUCAGUUAGAAGAACUCAUCUUCAGUCAAUGCUUUUACAGAAAAAGUAACAGCAGUUGAGGAAUUCUACUUGAAUUUGGUGAGUUCAUUUUCUAGUCAUAUUGAAGCAUUGAGUUUGUAUGCCAUUUGGUGCCCUGUUCUUAUAUAAGGAUAUUCCAAUAUGUUAGCAAUCAACUACAUAGGGAUCUUCUUUUGUCGUUGGUGCAUCAACAUUUCGUACUUUAUGAACUACUAUUAAACUUGGAAUUCAUAAACGUUUAAUGUACUGGUAGGUUUCAUCCUUUAUAUAUGCCAUCAUUUUUUGGGUUU